UACGUAGGGUGCAAGCGUUAAUCGGAAUUACUGGGCGUAAAGCGUGCGCAGGCGGUUUGGUAAGACAGAUGUGAAAUCCCCGGGCUCAACCUGGGAAUUGCAUUUGUGACUGCCCGACUAGAGUGUGUCAGAGGGGGGUAGAAUUCCACGUGUAGCAGUGAAAUGCGUAGAGAUGUGGAGGAAUACCGAUGGCGAAGGCCAGGCCCCCUGGGAUAACACUGACGCUCAUGCCACGAAAGCGUAGGGGAGC
rnacentral:rRNA from 1 species